rnacentral:misc_RNA from 1 species
UUGCGACAUACGACCUCCGUGAGGAUGCUUCGCCGUUGUGCGUCUGCCGUCGCGCCAGCAGGGCACAUUCCCUGCCCUGCCGCCGCGGUGUCUGGGGUGCAAAAGCGGUUUUUGAAAAUUGCCAAGUCUACUUUCGGCUUCUACCUAGCUCGGAGGGGACAGCGUAAGUUUCCGUUCCACCGUAGGCCGCACAUCAAGAACACUCAGGCAAUGAACCUGAACGCUCCGUACUUUUGGAGUUAUAUGACAGCGAAGAGCCAGUCCUUUUUUCUUCCCGAGGAGAAUUACAUAACUGGCGAUUGGACAGGAAAGUUCUUUGUCUCAAAGCGGCAGGUGUACACCCUUCAACAUGCCACUAGCGGAGGAAAGGUUAGAGUCAAGUCGUUUCCAUCCGUUUUCGAGCUGAACAGCCCUUCUCGAUGGAAUGUGGGCAAGGAAAUGAACACGUUGACAAAGCCGCGCAUGGACCUCAUCGAUGAUCAGAUGCUUACGAAGAAGCAGCGUUUGGAUUACGUGAAAGCAGGUUUGCUGCCCAAAUAAAGCGCCUUGAGCUCACAGCCGAAACACACACACAAAAAUAUCGAGGACAAGCUAGCCCUGUAGCGUUUUUGAUUCUCAUCGAAUGGAGUACUAGGCUUCCGGGCUGUCAAAUGAACUGAGAGCGACUAUGACUUCUUGUAGCGCUCAUACUCUUGAGUCAACGGCUUCUUAAGCGUCGUUGGUGGCGGACCGCUGUAGCAAAACAUAUGCCUCUCCCCCUUACUUCCUAUAG